UUGGCUUGAGUGUUGGUUUUUUGUGAAAAUGUGAAUGUAAAUCGAGAUGUGAGUGAUGAAUGGUGCUUUUGUUGAACGAGAGUGAUAAAUCCCUUCCCAUGGUUUGUGUGUCGGUGCUUGUGACACGAGGGUAAUGGUGAAUGAAGGUGAAUGUGAUGAUUUAGUUGUGUGAGUGAUGGAGAGCCUGAAAACGUGACUCCCUUGCCAUGCCAGCGUGUGUCUAUGCCAUAUAACAUAAUCUUCAGUUUGCAAAUUUUUUCUUAUGGUUUCAUGGUUUCAUUUGUUAUUAUUAUUUGAUAUAAAUUGAGUUUAAUUUUUAGAUUUCCAGGAUUUGAAAAACUCAACCAACCUAGUCUUCCAUGUUGUCACCAAUAAGAAAACUUAUACUCCGAUGCACACCUGAUUUGCCAUCAACUCUAUUAAUUCAACAAUUGUUGAGGAAAAUCUAGAUUGAUGACUACAUAACACACAACUUGCCAUUUGAUGACAUUAAUAAAGCUUUCGAUCUCAUGAAGGAAGGAAGUGUUUGCGUUGUGUUAUCCACAUGCCAAGAUAAUACUUUUAGUUUCUUUCUUUAUUUUUUUUCUAAAAUAGUGAAAGUUAUUGCAGAAAUCAGUACCCCAUAACAUGUAGAAACUUCUUUGCAUAGUUAUCAUUGAACAUUGAUAAGAGUUAAAUCUUGUAUUACCAAUAUUGAUCAUGCUAAUCAUAUGCUAUGCUACUUUUUGUCUUCACUCAACCAUAAAAAUUUAUAUAUGAUAAAGAAUGUGACAUUGUUUUAAAGUCUUGCAUAACACAUAAUAAACAUUUGUUUUUAUAUCAUUAAUAUUGUAAAAUAUUUUUAAAUAUAUGAAAUAUAUUUUAAUGUAAAAUGAAACCAUUUAAAAUGUAAUAUAAGUGGUUUAAAAGAGAGUAAUUUAAGAUGAUGUGGAGAGAUAUUUUUAGUGUUGAGAAUGUCUGUUUUAGAGAAUGAAGAGUGUUAUUUAGGUUGAGAGUUCUACUUUAGAGAACAAAAUUAGAUACAUAAUUUUAUAGUGCAUGUUAGAAGAGAAAGGUUGCUUAUUUUAUAAAUCUUUGUGGAAUAUUUCAGUGGAUACUACUAGAGAAUAGGGUCAACAAAUCACUUGGUUUGAUUUUAGAAAGUGAGAUUGUUUUGCUUUAUAUAUUAAACUGGAGUUACACAACAUCAUUCACUGUUAGUAUUUUUUAGACAAAAAUGGCCUAUGGGACGACAUUUGACAGGUUAACCAAAAUAUUUUCACAAUGUUUAUCAUCUGAUUUUCAUCCCAAAAAACUUAUCAUAUGCAAGUUUAAAUAGUAUCUUUUCCUUGUCAUCUACUUUAAUACAUUCACUUUAUGACUAUUCAUUUAUUUCUUCCUUUUCUUUCCUUUUUUUUUGCAGAGUUUUGUGAAUCUUAGAGUAUUAAAUUUUGAUAAGUGCAAAUGUAUAACUCAGAUACCAGAUAUACACUAUUGCACCAUUGCACCAUUGCACUAGUGAUGAACAGUAAAGUUUCUAUCCUUCAAGGUAACCCCUCCUGGGUCCAAGUUGACAUGUAUCGAAGGGGAAGAAGCCAACUAAGGAGAUAGCGGACUACAUGUUAUGGAGAAAAAGUUGAGCGAUAGAGUGUGGAGGAGUUUGAACGGGGCAAGCUCUGGUUAUGCGAUACUUUUUCUCUCAUAAGGUUUCUGAUCAAGGAAGUGUGCCAACUAAUACAACAAGUUCUGGACAUGAGGAAAAUCAUAUGUGAUAGUUGAAGAAUAUAAUAUAAUGUGGAAGUUAAUUGAAUCAUUUUAUGUUUUGAGAACCAUUGCAGUACUUCAUGAUAGUUUUUGCUGACU